ensembl:lncRNA
UGUGUGUGUAUAUGUCAGUAUCGAUUGUGUGACAUAUACAAUCGAUAUCACACACAGUGUGAGUGUGUGUGUGUGUUUGUCAGUAUUGAUUGUGUGUGUGUGUGUGUGCAUGUUUAUGUGUGUGUUUGUUUGUGUGUGUAUAUGUCAGUAUUGAUUGUGUGUGUGUGUGUGUGUGUGUGUGUGUAUGUCUGUAUUGAUUGUGUGUUUGUGUAUAUGCCAGUAUUGAUUGUGUAUGUGUGUGUGUGUUUGUGUGUAUGUCCAUAUUGAUUGUGUGUGUGUGUUUGUGUGUAUGUCAGUAUUGAUUGUGUGUGGGUGUGUGUGGUUAUGUGUGUAUAUGUCAGUAUUGAUUGUGUAUGUGUGUGUGUAUAUGUCCGCAUUGAUUGUGUGUGUGUGUGUGUGUGUGUGUGUGUGUGUGUGUAUGUCAGUAUUGAUUGUGUGUGGGUGUGUGUGUUUAUGUGUGUAUAUGUCAGUAUUGAUUGUGUGUGUGUUUGUGUGUGUGUGUGUAUGUCAAUAUUGAUUGUGUGUGUGUUUCUGUGUGUGUAUGUCAGUAUUGAUUGUGUGUGUGUGUUUGUGUGUAUGUCAGUGUUGAUUGUGUGUGUGUGUGUUUGUGUGUAUGUCAGUGUUGAUUGUGUGUGUGUGUUUGUGUGUAUGUCAGUAUUGACUGUGUGUGUGUGUGUUUGUGUGUAUGUCAGUGUUGAUUGUGUGUGUGUGUGUGUGUGUGUGUUUGUUAUUGAUGUGUGUGUGUGUGUGUGUGUUUGUGUGUAUGUCAGUGUGAUUGUGUGUGUGUGUGUGUGUGUGUUUGUGUGUAUGUCAGUAUUGAUUGUGUGUGUGUGUGUG